UUGAAUGGUACGAAUAAUGGCAAAAUGGAUAAAGCUUAAAAAUUAAAGUGCAUUAAAAGUAAAUGACUUGAAAUUAAAUGUUAGUUGUUAGUUGAUUAGAAGUUAGUAUUGCUUUUGCUUUGUUUUUGUUUAAGUCAUUCUUUGGAGAACACUAAACCCACUUGUCACAAGCAUGGAUCCUUAAACCAGGAUAUCUUUCAAAGGAAGGAAAAAA
rnacentral:lncRNA from 1 species